GAUGAACGCUGGCGGCAUGCCUAAUACAUGCAAGUCGAGCGAAAACACCGGCAGCUUUCUCUUUUGCCGUUAGCGACGGACGGGUGCGUAACGCGUGCAUCACCUACCUCUUAUUCUGGGGUAACUUCGGGAAACCGGAGCUGAUACCGGCUAAUAUAUUCUACCGCAACGUUCAAUAGUGUAUGACGGUUUUCCUGUCUCUUUUAGCUGGCUUCGCGCUGCUUUAGCUAUUUGGUAAGGUAACGGCCUACCAAGGCUACGAUGCGUAGCGGACCUGAGAGGGUGAUCGGCCACAGUGGAACUGAGACACGGGCCAGACUCCUACGGGAGGCAGCAGUAGGGAAUCUUCCGCAAUGGGCGAAAGCCUGACGGAGCAAGGCCGCGUGAGUGAUGAAGGUCUUCGGAUUGUAAAACUCUGUUAUUAGGAAAGAACAAAAGUGUAAGUAUCUAGGCACGGCUUGACGGUACCUAAACAGAAAGCCACGGCUAACUACGUG
rnacentral:rRNA from 1 species